CCUACGGGUGGCUGCAGUGGGGAAUAUUGGACAAUGGGCGAAAGCCUGAUCCAGCAAUGCCGCGUGAGUGAUGAAGGCCUUAGGGUUGUAAAGCUCUUUCAGCAGGGAAGAUAAUGACGGUACCUGCAGAAGAAGCCCCGGCUAACUCCGUGCCAGCAGCCGCGGUAAUACGGAGGGGGCUAGCGUUGUUCGGAAUUACUGGGCGUAAAGAGCGCGUAGGCGGUUUGACAAGUUGGAAGUGAAAGCCCAGGGCUUAACCCUGGAAUUGCUUUCAA
rnacentral:rRNA from 1 species